rnacentral:rRNA from 1 species
UACGUAGGGACCAAGCGUUUGUUCGGAUUACUGGGCGUAAAGGGCGCGUAGGCGGCAAUUCAAGUCAUCUGUGAAAUCUCCGGGCUUAACCCGGAACGGUCAGAUGAUACUGCUUUGCUAGAGUGCGGAAGGGGCAAUCGGAAUUCUCGGUGUAGCGGUGAAAUGCGUAGAUAUCGAGAGGAACACCUGAGGUGAAGACGGGUUGCUGGGCCGACACUGACGCUGAUGAGCGCGAAAGCCAGGGGAGCAAACGGG